GUUGGCGAUGGGAACAGUUCACGAGGGUGGGGAAAAGAGCAUGGGAUGGUGGCUUCGGGCUUGUGGGAGGUGGUGGGAGAAGGAAGAUGGGAGCUCUUGGUUGGUAAGGGGGCAAUGAGGUGGGAGGCUGAGGCAAGGGAAGGUUGGCGCGACUUGGGGUGGGGUUGUGGCUAGGGUGAAGCGAUGGGAAGAGGGAAAAGAGGGGGAAAUGAUGGACGGUGUGAGGAGGAGACGAAUGAAAGUGGUCAGACUGGCAAGGGACAAUGAGAACGGAGAUAGGGUGAAAAACAAAAAAAGAAUACAGUGAAAAAAUUUUAGAGUUAUUGGGUUAAAAAUAUGGCACAAUCGUGUAAUAACC
rnacentral:lncRNA from 1 species